NNACCAUGUUAUGGGGAGCAGCUGAAGGCCUGGUCAAAGAUUCUGUGAAAUGCUACUGAAUCAUAUCACAGCCGCUUUGACUGGUUCUUAACUGCAUCACAUCUUCACUUUCUGC
rnacentral:precursor_RNA from 10 species